rnacentral:rRNA from 1 species
GACGAACGCGGCGGCGUGCCUAAUACAUGCAAGUAGGACGCACAGUUUAUACCGUAGCUUGCUACACCAUAGACUGUGAGUUGCGAACGGGUGAGUAACGCGUAGGUAACCUGCCUAUUAGAGGGGGAUAACUAUUGGAAACGAUAGCUAAUACCGCAUAACAGUAUGUAACACAUGUUAGAUGCUUGAAAGAUGCAAUUGCAUCGCUAGUAGAUGGACCUGCGUUGUAUUAGCUAGUAGGUAGGGUAAUGGCCUACCUAGGCGACGAUACAUAGCCGACCUGAGAGGGUGAUCGGCCACACUGGGACUGAGACACGGCCCAGACUCCUACGGGAGGCAGCAGUAGGGAAUCUUCGGCAAUGGGGGGAACCCUGACCGAGCAACGCCGCGUGAGUGAAGAAGGUUUUCGGAUCGUAAAGCUCUGUUGUUAAGGAAGAACGAGUGUGAGAAUGGAAAGUUCAUACUGUGACCGGUACUUAACCAGAAAAGGACG